UUGCUAUUUUGCUGACGAGUGGCGCACGGGUGCGUAACGCGUAUACAAUCUGCCUUUAAGCGGGGGAUAGCCCAUGGAAACGUGGAUUAAUACCCCAUAGUAUGUAGACUUCACCUGGAGACUACAUUAAACAUUUAUGGCUUAAAGAUGAGUAUGCGUCCUAUUAGUUAGUUGGUAAGGUAACGGCUUACCAAGACCGCGAUAGGUAGGGGUCCUGAGAGGGAGAUCCCCCACACUGGUACUGAGACACGGACCAGACUCCUACGGGAGGCAGCAGUGAGGAAUAUUGGACAAUGGAGGCAACUCUGAUCCAGCCAUGCCGCGUGCAGGAAGACGGCCCUAUGGGUUGUAAACUGCUUUUAUACGGGAAGAACCACAUCUACGUGUAGAUGCUUGACGGUACCGUAUGAAUAAGGACCGGCUAACUCCGUGCCAGCAGCCGCGGUAAUACGGAGGGUCCAAGCGUUAUCCGGAAUCAUUGGGUUUAAAGGGUCCGUAGGCGGGAUAAUAAGUCAGUGGUGAAAGUCUGCAGCUCAACUGUAGAAUUGCCAUUGAUACUGUUGUUCUUGAAUUAUUAU
rnacentral:rRNA from 1 species